AUGUUCGAGUAUGUAAAUGUUGUCAGCAAGAUGUUUGAUAGUGAGGCUGAAGGUUAUGAAUUCUACAACAAAUAUGCUCUUGAAAAAGGUUUUAGUGUGAGGAAAAGCUACGUUGAGUGGGAUGGAUCCAACAAAUACAUAAUUUUAAGGAAAAUUGUGUGUAGUCGUCAGGGGUUUCGCGAAGAUAAGCACAUGAAAAGAAAGAUGGAAGAUAGAAAAAGGAGGCCACGAAGUUUAACUCGUGUUGGGUGUAAUGCUAAAUUGGUCAUUACGAGACAGGAGGAAACCGGUCGGUGA
rnacentral:rRNA from 1 species